GGCCGGUUGGAGUAGCUGGUUAUCUCGCAUCGUUAACAGGAUUGUAGUAAUACAAACCAAUUACCGAUGAGGUCGCCGGAUCGAGCCCGGCACUGGUCA